rnacentral:rRNA from 1 species
GAUGAACGCUGGCGGCGUGCCUAAUACAUGCAAGUCGAGCGAACAGACGAGGAGCUUGCUCCUCUGACGUUAGCGGCGGACGGGUGAGUAACACGUGGAUAACCUACCUAUAAGACUGGGAUAACUUCGGGAAACCGGAGCUAAUACCGGAUAAUAUAUUGAACCGCAUGGCUCAAUAGUGAAAGACGGUUUUGCUGUCACUUAUAGAUGGAUCCGCGCCGCAUUAGCUAGUUGGUAAGGUAACGGCUUACCAAGGCGACGAUGCGUAGCCGACCUGAGAGGGUGAUCGGCCACACUGGAACUGAGACACGGUCCAGACUCCUACGGGAGGCAGCAGUAGGGUAUCUUCCGCAAUGGGCGAAAGCCUGACGGAGCAACGCCGCGUGAGUGAUGAAGGUCUUCGGAUCGUAAAACUCUGUUAUUAGGGAAGAACAAAUGUGUAAGUAACUAUGCACGUCUUGACGGUACCUAAUCAGAAAGCCACGGCUAACUACGUG